AGUGAACGCUGGCGGUAGGCCUAACACAUGCAAGUCGAACGGCAGCACAGUAAGAGCUUGCUCUUACGGGUGGCGAGUGGCGGACGGGUGAGGAAUACAUCGGAAUCUACUUUUUCGUGGGGGAUAACGUAGGGAAACUUACGCUAAUACCGCAUACGACCUACGGGUGAAAGCAGCGGAUCUUCGGACCUUGCGCGAUUGAAUGAGCCGAUGUCGGAUUAGCUAGUUGGCGGGGUAAAGGCCCACCAAGGCGACGAUCCGUAGCUGGUCUGAGAGGAUGAUCAGCCACACUGGAACUGAGACACGGUCCAGACUCCUACGGGAGGCAGCAGUGGGGAAUAUUGGACAAUGGGCGCAAGCCUGAUCCAGCCAUACCGCGUGGGUGAAGAAGGCCUUCGGGUUGUAAAGCCCUUUUGUUGGGAAAGAAAAGCAGCAGGUUAAUACCUCGCUGUUCUGACGGUACCAAAAGAAUAAGCACCGGCUAACUUCGUG
rnacentral:rRNA from 1 species